GAUGAGGAACGCAGCGAAAUGCGAUAAGUAAUGUGAAUUGCAGAAUUCAGUGAAUCAUCGAAUCUUUGAACGCACAUUGCGCCCGUCAGUAUUCUGGCGGGCAUGCCUGUUCGAGCGUCAUUACGCCCCUCAAGUCCCCUGUGGACUUGGUGUUGGGGAUCGGCGAGGCUGGUUUUCCAGCACAGCCGUCCCUUAAAUUAAUUGGCGGUCUCGCCGUGGCCCUCCUCUGCGCAGUAGUAAAACACUCGCAACAGGAGCCCGGCGCGGUCCACUGCCGUAAAACCCCCCAACUUUUUAUAGUUGACCUCGAAUCAGGUAGGACUACCCGCUGAACUUAAGCAUAUCAAUAAGCGGAGGA
rnacentral:misc_RNA from 1 species